rnacentral:rRNA from 1 species
AUGAAGCAUGCGAAGGCUACAGGUGAGGUGGUGGAGAAGGAAGCUGUCGUUGUGGAGGCUGUUGCACCAGCAACACUAGAUGGCAUUCAAGGGAAGAGGAGAUGCGCCUGGGUGACUCUGAGCACCGGUCAGUUUUUGCUUCUUGUUCUUUCAUGUACUGGUGUUUGCAGUUUGUGCUUGCUUAAGAACUUUUGGCAGUAUUUGAUUUUUUUUUAUGCCAUCGUUCGUCCCAUGCUUUUACUGAAGUGCGUAUGUUUGAAUGUUCACAUGCACUUGCAGUCUGCUCAGAUAAGCUGGACAUUUUGUUAG